AGUGAACGCUGGCGGUAGGCCUAACACAUGCAAGUCGAACGGCAGCACAGGAGAGCUUGCUCUCUGGGUGGCGAGUGGCGGACGGGUGAGGAAUACAUCGGAAUCUACUCUGUCGUGGGGGAUAACGUAGGGAAACUUACGCUAAUACCGCAUACGACCUACGGGUGAAAGCAGGGGACCUUCGGGCCUUGCGCGAUUGAAUGAGCCGAUGUCGGAUUAGCUAGUUGGCGGGGUAAAGGCCCACCAAGGCGACGAUCCGUAGCUGGUCUGAGAGGAUGAUCAUCCACACUGGAACUGAGACACGGUCCAGACUCCUACGGGAGGCAGCAGUGGGGAAUAUUGGACAGUGGGCGCAAGCCUGAUCCAGCCAUACCGCGUGGGUGAAGAAGGCCUUCGGGUUGUAAAGCCCUUUUGUUGGGAAAGAAAUCCAGCUGGCUAAUACCCGGUUGGGAUGACGGUACCCAAAGAAUAAGCACCGGCUAACUUCGUGCCAGCCGCCGCGGUAA
rnacentral:rRNA from 1 species